UACGUAACAAUGCGAUUGUGUGAGUAUAACGAUAUAAAUAUUGCAUAACAAUUAUUAUAACGAUAUCGUGCCGUGGUCCGAGUCACGUAACAAUCGUAAUAUUUUAAUAUUAUUACUACUAAAAAAAAACGUGUGUGCAGCUGGACACGGCCGUCGGCGCCAGUGGUCGUUUGCACUGGCUGCGAGUGAGAUCGGCGACGACGUCGUUAGAUCAACCAAAAGAAUAUGUAAAAGCCUCGGCGGUCGAUAACCGUUCCGUCGUAACGGGAGAAAAACGACCACAUCGAAA